CCCUUAGAUGUUCUGGGCCGCACGCGUGCUACACUGAGUGGAUCAGCGGGUCAGGUUGCGCGAAAGUGUUUCCUAAUCUUGAAAUCCGCUCGUGAUGGGGAUUGACGGUUGCAAUUUUCCGUCAUGAACGAGGAAUACCUUGUAAGCGCGGGUCAUCAUCCCGCGCUGAAUACGUCCCUGCCCUUUGUACGCACCGCCCGUCGCUCCUACCGAUUGAGUGGUCCGGUGAGGCUUUGGGAUCUGAGCAAAAAGAGCGUUUCGCUCGUUUGGCUCGGAAAACUCAGUCGAACCUUAUCAUUUAGAGGAAGGAGAAGUCGUAACA
rnacentral:rRNA from 1 species